AGCAGCCGCGGUAAAUUCCAGCUCCAAUAGCGUAUAUUAAAGUUGUUGCAGUUAAAAAAGCUCGUAGUUAAAUUUCGUAGGAUCAAAUUGUUGGUCGUGCCUUGGUACGCACUGGCAUUAUUGGUUUCUCCCUUCUGAAGAACCAUGAUGUCAUUAAUUUGGUGUCUUGGGGGAAUCAGGACUGUUACUUUAGAAAAAAUUAGAGUAGUUUAAAGCAGGCUCGCGCUUGAAUACAUUAGCAUGGAAUAAUGAAAUAGGACGUUUGAUUCUAUUUUGUUGGUUUCUAGGAUCGACGUAAUGAUUAAUAGGGAUAGUUGGGGGCAUUAGUAUUCAAUUGUCAGAGGUGAAAUUCUUGGAUUUAUUGAAGACUAACUACUGCGAAAGCAUUUGCCAAGGAUGUUUUCAUUAAUCAAGAACGAAAGUUAGGGGAUCGAAGACGAUCAGAUACCGUCGUAGUCUUAACCAUAAACUAUGCCGACUAGGGAUCGGAUGAUGUUAAUUUUUAAUGACUCAUUCGGCG
rnacentral:rRNA from 1 species